UUAGGUUACAGUUACCAUUUCAGUGCCAGAUAUUAUGUGUUUGUGGAAAAUAACCAGGCCAUCUCUUGAUAAUAAAUGUCAGUGAAGCAGCUCCCACCCCAGCCAUACAAAACAUGACAUCGGGGGGGGAAGAGACAGAAAGAAAGAGACAGAGGUAAACGUACAAAAACAUACACGUGCAGGGUAUAAACAGACAGAGUUAAAUGGUGACAGAGCUUAGUCAACAGUUUUCCCCCCAAACUUCUCACCUGUGACAAACUGACCCAGCAUGGACCCGGCGCUCACGUUUGAAAGGGCACAGAGCAUUUCACCUUGAAAAAAACAGCAGGACUGGAACGGUUACUUCAGAAGAGCACCACUCUGGAAGUCCCUAUUGAAGAUUUAAAGCCAUAUUCUCUGUGGCUUCUCAGUUUCCUCCAUCAUGUCAGAGACUCGACCAAUGCCUGUACAAACUGAGGUGCCUUCAGAGUCUCCAGAGGUGGAGUGUCCAGUUUGCUAUCAGGAGUACGACCAGAGCUCCAAACUCCCACGCAUGCUAGAAUGCCUUCACGUCUUCUGUACAGAAUGUCUCCGUAAGAUCCAGCUCACUCCUUUGCACCCCCCAGACCCCAACAGCGCCCCCUCAAUCUCCUGCCCCCUGUGCCGCCACUCCACCCCGCUACAGAGUGGCGAUGCAUACUCUCUCCCCUGCAACUCACGGAUUCUUGCCCAGUUGCCUCCCGUAGCCUUCCGUCUGCCUGCGUCGGUGUCUGCCCGGCUGGCCACGGUGACCCAGCGCUUGGUGCUAUCUCUGGGGGAGAGGGAUACCCGAUUCAUAAUCCUGCCCACUGUUAGUCUGAGGGUGGAGCAGAUGGGAGAAGGCACAGAAAUGGUAAACCCACCUAGGGUGCUGCAUCGAGAGAUUGAGGUUCUGAGGAGACACAAGAAGACCCUGAUGUGUGUUCAGGUUCUGGCUGUCAUCUUCUGGAUUAUGUUUGUGCUGACUUGUGUGAUUGGAGUUGUGUUUGGGCCAAACCUCUUUCAUAAUUGAAAGAUUAAGGACAUGGGUGUAUCUUGUUACAUUAAUAUAUUUAUUCUGUCCCUGCAUUUUUCAAAUGACAACAUUUAGAUCAUUAUAAAUAGAUCAUUUUGAUUACAUGUAAAACCUAC
ensembl:lncRNA